rnacentral:rRNA from 1 species
AUUGAACGCUGGCGGCAUGCUUUACACAUGCAAGUCGAACGGCAGCACGGGGGCAACCCUGGUGGCGAGUGGCGAACGGGUGAGUAAUGCAUCGGAACGUACCCAGUCGUGGGGGAUAACGCAGCGAAAGUUGUGCUAAUACCGCAUACGACCUGAGGGUGAAAGCGGGGGACCGUAAGGCCUCGCGCGAUUGGAGCGGCCGAUGUCUGAUUAGCUAGUUGGUGGGGUAAAGGCCCACCAAGGCGACGAUCAGUAGCGGGUCUGAGAGGAUGAUCAGCCACACGGGCACUGAGACACGGGCCCGACUCCUACGGGAGGCAGCAGUAGGGAAUAUUGGGCAAUGGAGGAAACUCUGACCCAGCCAUGCCGCGUGAAGGAUGAAGGUCCUACGGAUUGUAAACUUCUUUUAUUAGGGAAGAAACGUUUUGAUUCAUCAGAACUUGACGGUACCUAAGGAAUAAGCACCGGCUAACUCCGUG